rnacentral:rRNA from 2 species
CAAAAACAUCGCCUUUUGAAUUAUAUAAAAGGUAACGCCUGCCCAGUGACAUCAUGUUCAACGGCCGCGGUAUUCUGACCGUGCGAAGGUAGCGUAAUCACUUGUCUUUUAAAUAAAGACUAGUAUGAAUGGCACCACGAGAAUUUAGCUGUCUCCUUAAACUCAUCAGUGAAACUGAUCUCCCCGUGCAAAAGCGGGGAUAAACACAUAAGACGAGAAGACCCUAUGGAGCUUAAAACUAACAGCCGCCUAUGCUUUCUGCUAAAAUAAAUAGCACUAUAACAAUAGAUCCGGCCUACGUUUUCAGUUGGGGUGACUAUGGAGGAAAACCUAUCCUCCAUGAAGAAACAAGCCUUGAGUUACCACUCUAUGCAUCAGCGAGCCUGACUUUACAUGAUCCAAUCUAUUUGAUCAACGGACCAAGUUACCCUAGGGAUAACAGCGCAAUCCAUUUCAAGAGUCCUUAUCGACAAAUGGGUUUACGACCUCGAUGUUGGAUUAGGACACCCUAGUGGUGCAGCCGCUACUAACGGUUCGUUUGUUCAACGAUUAAAGUCCUACGUGA